UAAAAUCCAAACCAAGCAUAGUUGGAUUUGGAUACAACUCAUACAUUGGACAAUUCCAUCAGCUGGGUAAGUCAGUUAACCUUAUUUAGUGAACCCUGCAAUUAUGGAGAUAACUCUUUAGUAACCCUGUUUACCGGUGUUACCUGUGUCAGCUGAAGAAUACUACUUAAAAAUGCAGCUCUUGUUGGCCAACAAAAUUUAAAAUCAACAACAGGCGCAUUUUUUCUGAAUCGAUGCAAAAAAUGGAUGAAACAAAUGCUGAUCAACUGAUUAUACUAUUGUCGAGGUGUCGAACCUUAAUAAAUAAAGGAUGCUUAACGCUGCAAGGAUUAAAUAAUUUCUGUUUGGAAUUUUUAAAGCUAUCGGAAAAACUUCAUGUCUUUCUGGCUGAGUGCAAUGAAAUUGUAUGCAAAAGCCCCAUGGAAAUUGUAUACCUUUGUCUGACUCAAAUUAUAACCUGUAUAAAAAAUAUGGAAAGGACUAUUAACUCGGAGAAAUUAGAAGGCACGAGUAUAUCGGUAAGGAAUAUUUAUAAUUUUUGACGAGUACCUAUGUAUGUAUAUAUCAGAAAACGGUUUGAAUGCCAUUUUCAUUGCCUAUGAGUCCUUACUUAAAAACAGCAGCAUUCAACAGUUUUCAUAGAAAGAGAAUAUAACGAAACCCGUUCAUUGCAUGUCUUUUGUUUAUCUCACUUAACACUCUCAAAGGCAACGAAUAUGCUGCGUUGAUUGAAUAAAGCCUUAUAGCCUUCAAA
rnacentral:sRNA from 1 species